UUGAUCCUGGCUCAGAACGAACGCUGGCGGCAUGGCUAAGACAUGCAAGUCGAACGGGCUAUACUAACGGGUAACUGUGCGUAUAGCUAGUGGCGAAAGGGUGAGGAACAGAUAGGUAACGUACCCCGCACUUCGGAAUAGCGCCCUGAAAGGGGCAUUAAUACCGGAUGAUGUCAUGAACUUAAUUGUUUAUGAUCAAAGAUUUAUCGGUGUGGGAGCGGCCUACCUCCUAUCAGCUUGUUGGUGAGGUAACGGCUCACCAAGGCUGCGACGGGUAGCGGGACUGAGAGGUUGACCCGCCACAUCGGGACUGAGACACUGCCCGGACCUCCACGGAGGGCUGCAGUAACGAAUAUUGGGCAAUGGGCGAAAGCCUGACCCAGCAAUGCCGCGUGCAGGAUGAAGCCCCUCGGGGUGUAAACUGCUGUCAGGUGGAAAAAAGCCGGUUUCGGCCGGUUGAUUGAUACCAAAGGAAGCCACGGCUAACUUCGUGCCAGCAGCCGCGGUAAGACGAAGGUGGCGAGCGUUGUUCGGAAUCACUGGGCUUAAAGCGCGCGUAGGCGGAAUAUCAAGCGUUUUGUGAAAUCCCCCGGCUUAACCGGGGAAUUGCUUGACGAACUGAUAUUCUUGAGGCAAGUAGGGGUGUGUGGAACUCUUGGUGGAGCGGUGGAAUGCGUAGAUAUCACGAGGAACGCCGGAGGUGAAGACGGCACACUGCGCUUGUCCUGACGCUGAGGUGCGAAAGCGUGGGUAGCGAA
rnacentral:rRNA from 1 species